UGGGUAGUACAACUCAACUUUAAUUUGAGUACACUAUGGGCAUGUUUGUUUCAACGUAAGUAGACUUGGGGUGGAAGUGGACUUUGGGUUGAAGUGGAGUUGGGGUGAAAAUUAGUUCACUUCUGCUGUUUGUUUUUAACUGUGGAAGUGCAGUUCUGCGAGUUCUGUUGUUUGUUUGGUAGGAAAUAGAUGACGUAAAAAGUGUAGCUCUCCACCCCCGGUAUACUUACCUCCAAAGUCAUAUUAUUGUCUAUUUUAUAACUUAUAGUGAAUAAUAAAUUAUAAUAAAUAAAAAUUAAUAUAAUUAUAUAUGUAUAUAAUUAUAUAUAUGUAUAAUUAUAAAAUAAAAUUUUAAAAAAUUAUAUUAUUUGUUUGCAUAUAAAUUAUAAUAAUGCAACAAAUAAAAUUCUAAAGUUAAAAAAUUAUUAACAUUUAACAAAUUUAUUUUUCAUCAUUUUCUAAAUAUACAAAUUAAACAAAAAAUAUAUUAAAGCUUACCUAAUCAAAUUUGAUCAUAUUUUAGACAUACAAUCAAAAUAAAAAAUUUAAUUAUUUUCACAAUUGAAUAUAUUUGGAUGAAAUGAAGAGGUAACCCUAACACAUUAAUACAUUCUUGCCUUUUUUUCACUUCACCGAAAUUGACUUCGCCCCAUGGGAGGGCGAAGUCAAGUUCCUUAUUUUGGGUGAACUGAACUUUCGGGCGUAAUAAACUUACGAUGAACCAAAUAGCGAAAGUGGUUAGUUUUCACCGAAAAUCACUUUCCCCGUCCCACUUCCACCCCACUUCCGUCGAAACAAACAGGCCCUAUGCGUUGGAA
rnacentral:lncRNA from 1 species